AUAACUGCUAAUUUGUCAAUUUUGUAAUCAAUCAACUGCCAUAUUUGGCAACAAAACCUCACUGGUUGUACUGAUUCCCAAUUGCCACAUGAUAAAACAAUUGUUCAUGUGCAUGUAAGGGGGAGCCUCGGUAGUAUUUUUUCUAGGUACAACCGAGAAACUGAAGAAAAUAAAAUACCAACUAAAUACAAUUGACAGAACUAUGGCUACUAGCAGUAGAUUAAUAAAACAUUGUGGACCUUGGUAAAGUUUCCGACUGAAACCCAUCCCUACCAUAUCAUCUGUCAGAAGCUAGGUGCAUUCAGGAGGAAGCACUUCUUUUGUGUGAACAUAAACUCACCUUGGAUAGCCCUUUUAGAAAGCCAAUCAGCAGCCCUGUUUUCCUCUCUGUGAACAUGAGAAACUAUGCACCUUGCGCAUUUGUUUCCAAACCAAAGUUAUCUGUAAACACUGAAAGAUUAGGAGACCUGCAAGAGAAGGUUUAGAAAGCCACUUGACAGUUGUUAUAGAGUCGCCUUAUAGAAUAAUUUCAUGGCCCAGAUAACAGUUUGCUACAGCAAAAAAAGCAAAAAAAAAAAAACCUUCCAAGUUAUCAACUCAGCUAUAGGUACAGAUGAUAAAGAAAAAGGCUUGCUCGCAGCAUGUAGCAUGUAUGGUAGAGACAAGUGCAGUUGGUCUGGAUCCAGGAAUCUGCCCCAGUUUCAACCAUAUUCUGGUAAAUGCUUUGACUGCAAGGUAACACUAAUUGCAAUCAUAGCCAUAUAGGAGUCAAGAUCAUGUAGUGAUUACAAGCGUAAGGCUAGAACAAAAAUUUAACAUGAUGACCCUUGCAAGUAUGUUUACUUUAGUAGACGUCAGUGUUUUAA
rnacentral:lncRNA from 1 species